UACGUAGGGACCAAGCGUUGUUCGGAUUUACUGGGCGUAAAGGGCGCGUAGGCGGCGUGGUAAGUCACUUGUGAAAUCUCUGAGCUUAACUCAGAACGGCCAAGUGAUACUGCUGUGCUAGAGUGCAGAAGGGGCAAUCGGAAUUCUUGGUGUAGCGGUGAAAUGCGUAGAUAUCAAGAGGAACGACCUGAGGUGAAGACGGGUUGCUGGGCUGACACUGACGCUGAGGCGCGAAAGCGUGGGGAGCAAACAGG
rnacentral:rRNA from 1 species